UGGGGAAUAUUGCACAAUGGAGGGAACUCUGAUGCAGCGACGCCGCGUGAGUGAUGAAGGCCUUCGGGUUGUAAACUUCUUUUGCUCUGAACAAGGCAUGCCUUUGGGGUGUGUUGAGUGUAGGGGUUGAUUAGCGCCGGCUAACUACGUGCCAGCAGCCGCGGUAAUACGUAGGGCGCGAGCGUUGUCCGGAAUUAUUGGGCGUAAAGGGCUUGUAGGUGGCUGGUUGCGUCUGUCGUGAAAGCUCAUGGCUUAACUGUGGGUUUGCGGUGGGUACGGGCUGGCUUGAGUGCAGUAGGGGAGGCUGGAAUUCCUGGUGUAGCGGUGGAAUGCGCAGAUAUCAGGAGGAAUACCGGUGGCGAAGGCGGGUCUCUGGGCUGUUACUGACGCUGAGGAGCGAAAGCGUGGGGAGCGAACAGG
rnacentral:rRNA from 1 species